UACAGAGGUGGCAAGCGUUGUUCGGAAUUACUGGGCGUAAAGGGCGCGUAGGCGGUUCGUUAAGUCCUGUGUGAAAUCCCCCGGCUCAACUGGGGAACUGCACAGGAGACUGGCGAGCUCGAGUGCAGGAGAGGAACGCGGAAUUCCAGGUGUAGCGGUGAAAUGCGUAGAUAUCUGGAGGAACACCGGUGGCGAAGGCGGCGUUCUGGACUGCAACUGACACUGAGGGAACGAAAGCCAGGGGAGCAAACGGG
rnacentral:rRNA from 1 species